rnacentral:lncRNA from 1 species
ACUGCUUCUUUGCAGUAAGCCGCUGCCUGGAACACAAAAAAAUGUUUUUUCUUUGUUUUUAAACAUUGCUGUUUUCCAGGAUCACUGGAUUCUGGUAAAGUUCAACAUUGUCAUAGAACAAAGUCUUGAUAAGAGAUUGAGAAAAACCAGAAAGAGGAUUUAUUUCAGAAGAAAUUUAUUCUAUAAGCAUAUAUUGGGAAUUUGAGCAAUGGGUAUAUGUGGGCUUUUGUCCCUGAAGAGCCACAUGUUAUAAUUAAAAAUGCUCCCCAAGGACCUUGCUGCAUAUCCAGUGCUGGGCAUUCCAUAAUUAUCCAGGAGCUCACAGGCUACACGGGACGGACAGAUGUAAAUAAAUAUAGAAAUGUGUUAAGAGCUACAGUGGAGGAGCAUGCAAUGGAUGAUUUCAAUGCUUGUCAAAGUAUCUUAAUGUCCCACUUUUAAAAAAUCCAAUAAUACUUUGGGCAUCAUCUGGGGCUUAGAAAAAGAACGUAAAAAGAAG